CUGUGUUUUUAAUGUCAACCGUGUGCGUAAAUAAGUUAGCAUGUAUCUUAAAAUAGACAUACAGAGUAUAACUAUAUAUAGUGAAUAUUUAGUGAAUACUUUGUUUCUGUUUAAUAGAAAGUCGAUAACAGCGACGCUGUUUGCGGCGAUUUGCAACGAUUUACAGCACUCUUUUGCGUAUGCGUAAACGAGCCGUCCGUACUGCAAAUCUGCGCAUAUGACGUUUGUCCAACUGGUGUUGCCGUUUGGCCCUGUCCAAGAUGGCGACCGCUCGCGCGUGCGAAAGUCAAGCAGUACUACUUCAACUCGGCCUGAUGACUCUAUUUUUGGUUACAUUUUAAUAUUUUCAGAUAGAUAGAUCGUUAGAAAUAAUUUUGUUGAUCCCUCGGAAGUUCACUUCGAGAAAGUAAGGAAGCAGUUCGUAAGUUCCGUACAGUAAAUUGUUUUGGCAGCGUUUUGUCUUUUUUAAAAUUUCGUCAACUUUUACUCAUGAUGACGUCAACAUAUCGGAGCACUCCCCUCCCCAUCUCGUGUUCGGUUGCGGUUGAGGAAGAGACCAGUUUGAACAUGCGCUUGUUUUUGGGCCGGCUGUUGAACAUCUCCAGAGAAUACUGGACUGCAGCCUGGAUCUCAGCAGAGUCUGGACUCCUGUCAACCCAGCCACCCAGAACAGUACUGCGUACUGAAGUACUGAAGCAAUCGUCUGUGCCCAGCUGCUGUACUACAGUGUAGUUGGUUGGUGGUUCAAUUCUGCUGUGCUCUGUCAAAGUCUGUUCUGGCUGGUGGAACCUGGCAGUCGAUGUUUUCUCAGGGAAUGACUCAGUGUUCCCAACCUCACCAACGGUUCUCCUCUGCAGAAACCGCUCUCCCUUUUCCACCCUGAUGUCACUGUGGACACACCCAGUGACCGAGUGUUGUUGUGAUGGUGUGUGUGAUUGUUGAGGACCAACACCUAUACAAUAGUAGUACUGUGUAGUACUGUGGUACCCUGUGUGUGUUGAAUGUAGUCGUCUCUUAUCUGAAGUGGGUGUGCUGUAGUGUAGUGUACAGCUGGGACUGGAACAGUCAACUCUACCACACUGGUUUACACAUGACACGAGGUCCGUGAACAACAACCUAUUUUUUUUACCUCUGAAAAAGAAAGAAAAUAAAAAAAGUAAAUGCACAUUCUGUGGUUUUUUUAUAUUUUAUUCUAAUGUAAAUUUCUUCUUAUUGAACAUCUCAUGUCCGUGUACAUGAGCGUGUGACCAAUAAGCCUUCAGCACUGAAGUGACGUGAUGUUUGGAUCUUUUUAUAUGCAAUUUUAACCCUGUCCAUGAAAAAAGUUGACAUAAAAUAGUGUUGACUUGAUAAAAAAUAAAGUGUUGACAGAGACUGGUGUCAAACUCAGGGUCGGGGUCGGGGUCAGGUACAGGUACUUACUAAUAAUGUCCAGCUCUUUAACUGGUUUCAUGAUGUCCCUAACUCUCUGGGUCAACAUCCACCAGAUACAUGUAUAUAUACACGCAUACAUGUUAUAUAUACAGUAUAUGCUUUUUUAUUCAUUUUUUUAAAACAAUGUUAUAAACAGAAUUGUGGCUUUUUUGUGGAUUUUGUCAUAAAGUUUAAUAAACAACUUAGUCCAAAAAACUUUUUUUUUGAGUCAAUAUUUUAGAAUAUUGAAUGUUCUGUUUGUCCGAAAAGCAUGUCCCUGCUGUGAUAAUAAAACCGUGGUCCAUGGUCCUGCUGUGACGUGUCCAUAAAAGGUGUUGUUUUCGUAUCA